AUCGAUGUUUUUGCUAUUUAUUUUGAGUUCGCUACAAGAGAUCCAGAAGCUCCGUAAAAUAAGUCGUCAAAUUCAUUCGUUAUAAUAUUUAUUUGAUUAUAUAUGUUGCUUAAAUUAAGGUGCAUUAAUUUGGCGUCGUUCAAGGUAUCGCUCAUUAAAAUCUAUGGAGAGACUUUGGAGCUAAAAUUCGUUAACUUAACCUAAAAUUGCUGGUAUGUUUCAACCCAGGCGUCCGUGCUGGUGAUUGUCAGACACAUUACUUUGCCAAUAAAAUAUUGGGGAGCCCAUGAUAUGCCUGGUGAAAAGCGAAGUGCAUUUAUGUGCAUUUUAUGAACUUUAAACAAAACCAAGCAGCUGUCUGAGCAGUGUUACCGUUCGGAAUACAUUGCACACCUCUGGUCACACCACUGGCCGGUAGAAGAAUAUGACAUUUGUUUGCUAGCAAACAGUUUUUGGAUCUGAGUACUAGACUUAAAGCCUAGAUAGCCUUAGAUCGGAUACCGUUUGAUUCUGGAAUCUAGAUUCCUGUCUUUGGGACGACCGCCUCACAUAAUUCAAGGCCUUGUUGACACAAGAUUUUUGGUCUCGUAAUAUGUCCAGUUUCAGAAAGAGCGUCCGCAGUGUCCUCAGAUUCUUAUUGAAAUGCUUCACCGGGAUUUGAAGAAGCGCUACAAGGGGAUUGUGAUAAAUUGUCUCAAUAAUGAGACUUUUCCCUUACGCUAGGGGCUUGCCUAUAGCGCCUAUGGCGCAUACAAAAUUUAGUCGAGAGUAUGUAGAGUCUUCACCGUAUCUGAAAGCUAAAUGUAUAUGAAUUUAGCUCCAUUCGUGUCCACACAUUGACAAAUCCGACACAUAACUUAUCCAUACCAAUCCUAAAUAAUGAAUUAAAUAAAACAACUAUUACAGAGUUUACAAAAGCCAUAAUGGCGUUGGAGGUGUUUCUUUAUUAUGAUUAACUGUCUUUCGAACAUGUUCUUUUCUUUUAAUUGAAUCAGGCUACAAAUAAAAUACAUGAACUGCAAAAAGCAUACUUUUACUGUUUUGUUGUA